rnacentral:sRNA from 2 species
AACGUAGGGAUGCCGAAUUGUCGCGGCUGCGACACACGGGGGACCCAAUCACGGGGUGAAUCGGCCGUUUAUUAGCCGUAGGGCCUACCUCUCCUUGCCCGAACCCGACAGCUAACCCCGGAGGCAAAGUCUUCGAGAGGAGUU